rnacentral:rRNA from 1 species
GACGAACGCUGGCGGCGUGCUUAACACAUGCAAGUCGAACGGACAGGCCCUGCUUUUGCGUGUUUCUCGAUUGGCGAACGGGUGAGUAACACGUGAGUAACCUCCCCUUGUCUUUGUGAUAACUUCUGGAAACUGGGGCUAAUACCGCGUAUAAUCUCCUGCUGCAUGUUGGGGGUUGGAAAGAUUCGGCGGUUGGGGAUGGACUCGCGGCUUAUCAGCUUGUUGGUGUGGUAGUGGAUUACCACGGUUUUGACGGGUAGCCGGCCUGAGAGGGUGACCGGCCACAUUGGGCCUGAGAUACGGCGCAGACUCCUACGGGAGGCAGCAGUGGGGAAUAUUGCACAAUGGGCGGAAGCCUGAUGCAGCAACGCCGCGUGCGGGAUGACGGCCUUCGGGUUGUAAACAGCUUUCGACUGUGACGAAGCGUGAGUGACGGUAAUGGGUAAAGAAGCACCGGCUAACUACGUG